GACGAACGCUGGCGGCGCGCCUAACACAUGCAAGUCGAACGGAGCUGAGAGAAGCUUGCUUUUCUUAGCUUAGUGGCGCACGGGUGAGUAACGCGUGAGUAACCUGCCCUGGAGUGGGGGACAACAGUUGGAAACGACUGCUAAUACCGCAUAAGCCCACGAUCCCGCAUCGGUUUGAGGGAAAAGGAUUUAUUCGCUUCAGGAUGGACUCGCGUCCAAUUAGCUAGUUGGUGAGGUAACGGCCCACCAAGGCGACGAUUGGUAGCCGGACUGAGAGGUUGAACGGCCACAUUGGGACUGAGACACGGCCCCGACUCCUACGGGAGGCAGCAGUGGGGGAUAUUGCACAAUGGGGGAAACCCUGAUGCAGCGACGCCGCGUGGAGGAAGAAGGUUUUCGGAUUGUAAACUCCUGUCGUUAGGGACGAUAAUGACGGUACCUAACAAGAAAGCACCGGCUAACUACGUG
rnacentral:rRNA from 1 species